rnacentral:misc_RNA from 1 species
GGGAGGACUUCUGAUAUAAACAAGUAUUAGUAACUGCUUAGGGAGGUGUCUUGAAAGAAGAAGAUGGAUUCAGGGGGAUAUGAAAAAAGGGGUCCUUUUUUCACUUUUAUUUUAAUUGGUUGGAUGAUUAUAUGAAAUGGAGAGCUGAGUUUACUUGUUUGGGACUGAGGCGGAGUUGUUCUUGUUUGCUUUAGUAUACCAAAAAUCUGGUUCUCGUUUUAGUGUGGUAAUAUGUUUAUUUCGAACAAGUCCGGGGAUUGGUUUUUUGUUUUGGGGGUGGGUAGUUGGUGCAUAUAUAGGAGGUAC